GACGAACGCUGGCGGCGUGCUUAACACAUGCAAGUCGAGCGGUAAGGCCCUUUCGGGGGUACACGAGCGGCGAACGGGUGAGUAACACGUGGGUGACCUGCCCUCAGCUCUGGGAUAAGCCUGGGAAACCGGGUCUAAUACCGGAUAUGACCUCAUGACGCAUGUUGUGGGGUGGAAAGCCUUGUGCGGCUGAGGAUGGGCCCGCGGCCUAUCAGCUUGUUGGUGGGGUGAUGGCCUACCAAGGCGACGACGGGUAGCCGGCCUGAGAGGGCGACCGGCCACACUGGGACUGAGACACGGCCCAGACUCCUACGGGAGGCAGCAGUGGGGAAUCUUGCGCAAUGGGCGAAAGCCUGACGCAGCGACGCCGCGUGAGGGAUGGCGGCCU
rnacentral:rRNA from 1 species